CAGCAAGCAGGUGGGGGCGGGCGGCUCCGCCUCCGCGUCCCGGCAGCGCCUGAGCGAGCCCGGAGCACAGAGCCCGGCUCAGCCAGGCGCGCAGCUACAACGCCAGGCACGGUCCACAGAGUCCACAGACCGAGAGUGGACAGCGGGGACGGCGGGGACGGCGGGGACGGCGGCGCCAGUGCGAGUCCAGUGGCCCGGUUAGGGCCAGCUGCAGACCAGAAACUACUCUCUUGGAACCAUUCAUAAGCAAGAGACACCAACACUGUGACAUAUGCCGGUGCCACCACCACCACCACCACCACCGCCACCUCCUCUGCCUCCACCUCCUCCACCUCUGGGGGCUCCUCCCCCUCCACCCCCACCAGGGCCCCCGAUUAGUACAGACGCACCCAGCUUAAGGAAGACAGAUCUGAAAGGUCGGAGUGCACUGUUGGCUGAUAUCCAGCAAGGAAAACGCCUGCGAAAAGUUACCCAGAUCAAUGACCGCAGUGCCCCACAAAUCGAGGGUUCAAAGGGAGCCAGCAAAGAUGGAGGGAGUGCCAGCCUCAGCAGUGCCCGAGGAGGAAACACCCCCCCUGCUCUGGGGGAUCUCUUUGCUGGUGGCUUUCCUGUGUUAAGACCAGCAGGCCAGAGGGAUAUGGCAGGUGGCAAGGCGGGGCAGGGACCUGGCUCCCGAGCGCCUUCUCCCCGGCUCCCCACCAAAGCCAUCAGCGGUCCCCUUCCUGCCCCCGCAUCUCCCAGGCUGGGCAAUGCCUCAGAGGUGCACAGCUCUUCCAGGCCGGUCCCUCCUCGGCCUAGUGUGCCUGCUCCACCACCUCCUACUCCACCCCCGCCCCCACCUCCACCUCCACCCUUGCCCCCGACCUCCUCCAGCAAAGCCCCAUUGGUGCCCCCGCCUGUCCCUCCAACCAAGGGAAAUCCCCCUGUGGCGCCACCCCCUGUGCCCUGCGCACCUCCUCCCCCUCCGCCCCUGAUGCCGCCCCCGCCCCCGCCCCCGCUGCCCCCAGCUGCAGUGCUCAGUGACAAAGCAGUGAGGCCCCAACUAGCCCCACUACACCUGCCGCCCAUCCCGCCCCCACUCCCUCUCCUCCCACCCUGUGGGUACCCAGGGCUGAACACAGAACACAGCAGCCCUGCACAGGAGGUUCAGGAGCCUCCAGCCCCUCCGCCACCGCCGCCGCCGCCGCCGCCACCGCUCCCAAUCCAUGCCUCUUGCUCUCCCAGGGCCGUUAUGCCUCCGCCCCCUUUGCCAGGCUCCAACAACAGCGGCAACGAGACCCCUCCUCCACUGCCCCCCAAGUCCCCAAGCUUCCAGGCGCAGAAGGCUUUGCCCACUCCUCCGGGUGCUCCCGGCCCUCAGGCCAUUCUACAGAAGAAGCGACGAGGCCCAGGAACCAGUGGGGGGAAGCUAAACCCACCUCCAGCUCCACCUGCAAGAUCGCCCACCACAGAGCUUUCCAGCAAAAGCCAGCAGCCUGGGGGCCAGCUGCGGAAUGGAAGCCAGCACGUGAUUGAUGAAUUCGAGUCUAAAUUCACGUUCCACUCCAUGGAAGACUUUCCCCCUCCAGAUGAAUUCAAACCAUGUCAGAAGAUAUACCCCAGCAAGGUCCCCAGAAGCCGCACACCUGGUUCCUGGCUCCAAGCUGAAGCAGCUGGGCAGGGCUCGGAUGACAUCAAAAGCAGAAAUUCUCAGAUCACAGAGGUUCAGGUACUGAUGUCAGCAUCCUGGGAUCCAUGCUCCAAUCACUCCCUCACUUUUCCAGAUCACAGAGGUUCAGGUACUGAUGUCAGCAUCCUGGGAUCCAUGCUCCAAUCACUCCCUCACUUUUCCAGAUCACAGAGGUUCAGGUACUGAUGUCAGCAUCCUGGGAUCCAUGCUCCAAUCACUCCCUCACUUUUCCAGAUCACAGAGGUUCAGGUACUGAUGUCAGCAUCCUGGGAUCCAUGCUCCAAUCACUCCCUCACUUUUCCAGAUCACAGAGGUUCAGCUAUCUCUGAAGGCACUCCGGUGAGAAGAUGGAUGAAGCCAAGGCCCUGGGGUUCUUUAUUGGAUGGACACCAGGAUAGCUCAUCAAGACUCUACCAUGCUCCAGCUCUAUUCAUUUGACAGGCAGGCUCUGAACAGAGCGUUAGUUACUGUAAAUAAUGAUUUGCACGAACUUUAAAACACCACUUUAGUCAACUUCUAUUUGAGUAAUAUUUUAAUAUUUUUAAAUAUGCAUCUUGGCCUUUGUCUGUUUGUACAGAUGGAGCCCUAUCCCACCCUGUAGUGUCCACUGUGACUAUAAAAUAUGCUUGCAGGCUGGUCCUUCCUAGAUUCCGAAACAUUUUUUUCAUUAGUUUUCAAGUAGUCUCAGAGUCAUAAAAAUCCACAACAGCUUCUAAUUGGCAUGAUUCUCAUCACACCAACUGCAAAAUCAAACCAGAUAAUGCCUUAUAAGCCAUGCAGCUCGGAGGAAGCGGCGUGUCCCCAGGUCCCAGCAGUGCCAGACAGCCUCCAGUGAGCGAGAUGCCACGUCUCACUUCCUUUUAUCAGUACAGGGAUGCCAUUUUGCUGCCUAAUGUAAAUAUAUCCCAAUGCAAAGACUGGAGUGGGCUUGGCCCCUCACAUGCCUUCCGCAGGGCCCCUUUUGUAACUGGAUUCUUUGACAAGCAGCCAGUGCUUUUACUGUUUACAGCAUCCCUAGUGCCCAGUCUCCAUCACGUUUCCUUCUGCCCCUCCAAGCUUUCACUCCAUCCUGGUAGUCAGGAUAAAGUUAGCUUUAUGAGAUUUUGAUAUCUUUCCACCCCUGCAGAUUAUAAAUGUAUAUAGCUCAUGAUUAUGAUAAGCUUAUUUUUACCUCAGAGGUCUCUCUCCCCCAAGCCCCACCCUGAGUGUAGGAUUUACAUGGAAAAUACAGCAUACAUUGAAAGAACAAAUAACCCUGGGGCGAUAGCUCUGUUGAUAAGAUGCUCGCCUCACAAUCCUAAGGACCUGAGUUCAGUUGCCAGAGCCCACAUGAAGCUGGACGGCAGCAGUACACACUUGUUAUCCCAUGGGAAAACAGAGUCAACCAGAUCCCUGGGCCUCACUGACCCGUCAGUCUAACCAGGGAGUCCCAGGUCCCCGAGAGCCACACUGUUGCAAAAUACAAGAUGGUAUCUCCUGAGGCCACAACACCCAAAGAUGACUUCUGGUCUCUACAGGCUCACACAUACAUGUGCAUGCACACUCCACACAGGAACACACACACCCACAUACAAACACAUACGGAAGAGCAAAGCAUUCCAUCGGUGGGAAUCCCAGAACACCUCUCUGCCCGAGGGCAUUUCCCUCUGAGCUGAAAAGCACAGAUGUCUGAUGGCUCUCCUGCCGUGUGGCGUGCACCUGGGGUGGCAGGCAGAUAUACACAGCAAGUUCAGCUGCCCUGGACAGAGGGCCAAGCCAGGCUGGGGCUGCUCUCAACACCUUUGAGCCCCAAGGGAGGGAAGUAUGCUUUUGCAUUUGUCAGGCCCCAAAUGCUCCCAUCCGAAUGCAAGGCUAUAGCAGAGAAGGGGGGAAAUAGAGGGAAACAGGAUUUCUGCACUGUGCUCGGAAUAGCUGUGGACAGGAGGAGGAGGAGGAGGAGGGCAAGGAAUGGUGUGCAACGGAGCAUCCCACUCGGGCACUCACACGGACAGGAACAUUAGCCCAGGUCAGGCCAUCCAGAGAUGAUGGACAGGGAGAGUGUUCAGCCAUGUGUCUGCAGGCACCUGACUGUGUUUCGGAGCAAAUGUCCUACACUGGUGUUGUGCUUUCUCAUUAGAGAUAGUAGAAACUGAGCCAGGGUCAAGUCCCAUCUCCGGAGCAUGACUCAAGCCACUGUAACUACAUCAAGGGACAUGAAGCUCCCAUGCUGCUGAUUUGUUGUAUUGGUUCUGGAAGUUUGCAGGAAGGUCAGGCUCCACUCCCUUCUCCUCCCAGCCUUGCAAAGUAAUAAUCCUGGAGUUUUAGUAAUUACAAGAGGGCCACUAGCAGUCUGCUGCUUGCCCAGUGACUUGCUCACGGGCUCAUGUUCUGCACUGCUGGGACAGAAAUUAAAACUACUGAAGAGUUGCUGGGGAGAUGUCUCAGUCAGUAGACUGCCUGCGGGCCAAGCAUGAGAACCUGUGUUCAUAUCCCCAGGACCUACAUAAAAGCCAGGCAUAGGGGUGCAUGUCUGUAACCCAGGUCCUGGCAGUUAAGUCAAGACUGCUGACCCCAGGAAGGUCAGUGACCAGCCAACCCCACCAAAUUAUUGAGCUGCAGGUUUAGUAAGGAAUGCUAAUAAGAAGAGAGAGAGAGAGAGAGAGAGAGGACACCUGUUGUUGGCCUUUGACCUCCAAAUACUUGUGCACAGAUGUGCCUUUGUUCACACGCACACACACACACACACACACACACACGCCUGCAUGCGCACACACACAGGUACAUACAACACAAAUAAUUUUUAAACUAUUUAAAGACAGAGGGAAAGAACAAGCAGAAACCAAAAACAGCAAGCAGGGAGCAAUCUCAGGAAUCUGGCCUAGCAGCUCUCCUUCAGACCUAUCACUGAAGCUACCAGCCUCCAAGUUCAAGCGGGCACGUCCAGUUCCCACGGGUAGAGUACAGGUUGGGCCCUUGACCAUGAACUCACGUGGAGGCGUCCCUGCCAUCCUCGCCCACCCUUACAUCACAGACUGUGACCUCCCAGCGUCUCACCUGUAUUUUAUAUUUACCCGUGUCUCCUGCUGCAGAUUCACUCCUUUGUACCCAAUAAACUUUAAUAAGUGGC